AGCCUAAGGAAAAGAUCUUAGGUUAUACCUGCCCAAUGUGUUUUUAUCAAUGGCCGCGGUACUUUGACCGUGCUAAGGUAGCGCAAUCAAUUGGCUCUUAAUUGGGGUCAGGAAUGAAUGGAGUUUACGGGGUUCAACUGUCUCCUAGUUAAUUAUUUGAAAUUACUAUGCAGGUGAAAAAGCCUGUAGUCAGAAAAAGGACGAGAAGACCCUUAGAGUUUCACUUAAUUUGAGUGUUAUUAAAAAUUGCUCAUUAAUAGUUUAGUUGGGGCAACAUAGGAGCAAUAAGUUGAUUAAUCUCCUAAAUAUAAUUAACCGAUAAUUUUAAAUGUGAAUAAACUACCUUAGGGAUAACAGCAUAAUUUUAAAAAUAAGUUUGUGACCUCGAUGUUGGACUAGGAAACUUAAAGGCUAGCCGUCUUUAAGGUAAGUUCUGUUCGAACUAUGUAUUCCU
rnacentral:rRNA from 1 species